AUUGAACGCUGGCGGCAUGCCUUACACAUGCAAGUCGAACGGCAGCACGGAGCUUGCUCUGGUGGCGAGUGGCGAACGGGUGAGUAAUAUAUCGGAACGUACCCUAGAGUGGGGGAUAACGUAGCGAAAGUUACGCUAAUACCGCAUACGAUCUAAGGAUGAAAGUGGGGGAUCGCAAGACCUCAUGCUCGUGGAGCGGCCGAUAUCUGAUUAGCUAGUUGGUAGGGUAAAAGCCUACCAAGGCAUCGAUCAGUAGCUGGUCUGAGAGGACGACCAGCCACACUGGAACUGAGACACGGUCCAGACUCCUACGGGAGGCAGCAGUGGGGAAUUUUGGACAAUGGGCGAAAGCCUGAUCCAGCAAUGCCGCGUGAGUGAAGAAGGCCUUCGGGUUGUAAAGCUCUUUUGUCAGGGAAGAAACGGUGAGAGCUAAUAUCUCUUGCUAAUGACGGUACCUGAAGAAUAAGCACCGGCUAACUACGUGCCAGCAGCCGCGGUAAUACGUAGGAUGCAAGCGUUAAUCGGAAUUACUGGGCGUAAAGCGUGCGCAGGCGGUUUUGUAAGUCUGAUGUGAAAUCCCCGGGCUCAACCUGGGAAUUGCAUUGGAGACUGCAAGGCUAGAAUCUGGCAGAGGGGGGUAGAAUUCCACGUGUAGCAGUGAAAUGCGUAGAUAUGUGGAGGAACACCGAUGGCGAAGGCAGCCCCCUGGGUCAAGAUUGACGCUCAUGCACGAAAGCGUGGGGAGCAAACAGGAUUAGAUACCCUGGUAGUCCACGCCCUAAACGAUGUCUACUAGUUGUCGGGUCUUAAUUGACUUGGUAACGCAGCUAACGCGUGAAGUAGACCGCCUGGGGAGUACGGUCGCAAGAUUAAAACUCAAAGGAAUUGACGGGGACCCGCACAAGCGGUGGAUGAUGUGGAUUAAUUCGAUGCAACGCGAAAAACCUUACCUACCCUUGACAUGGCUGGAAUCCCCGAGAGAUUGGGGAGUGCUCGAAAGAGAACCAGUACACAGGUGCUGCAUGGCUGUCGUCAGCUCGUGUCGUGAGAUGUUGGGUUAAGUCCCGCAACGAGCGCAACCCUUGUCAUUAGUUGCUACGAAAGGGCACUCUAAUGAGACUGCCGGUGACAAACCGGAGGAAGGUGGGGAUGACGUCAAGUCCUCAUGGCCCUUAUGGGUAGGGCUUCACACGUCAUACAAUGGUACAUACAGAGCGCCGCCAACCCGCGAGGGGGAGCUAAUCGCAGAAAGUGUAUCGUAGUCCGGAUUGUAGUCUGCAACUCGACUGCAUGAAGUUGGAAUCGCUAGUAAUCGCGGAUCAGCAUGUCGCGGUGAAUACGUUCCCGGGUCU
rnacentral:rRNA from 1 species